UUAUUAUUAUUAUUAUUUAUUAUUUCUUUACGAUAUUUUUUUUCGUUAUUUCAUAUAAUAUGAUUUUACUUGUAAAUUUGCAAAGAAAAAUAUACAAACAAAAAUGCUCUAAAAUAUUUUUAUAUAUUUUGACGUGUUUUAUAGAAAUAAAACAAUGGUUUUCUGUUUUUAAUAAUUUUUUAAAAUUUAUUUGUUUCAGUUGAAUUAUUUCAAAAUCAAUUUCCAAUUUUAAUGGUUCGAAAUCAUCAAAAUCUACUACUACCACCACCACCAUCAUCAUCAUCACAAAUAAUUGACGAAUUGGCAUGCAUCUAUUGUGUUAGAAUGACCGCAUCAAUGACUGGGAAAAAGAUUCAUGAAAAUAAUUGUUCUUUAAAUCCAUCAAAUUUUAAAUCGAAUUAAUAAAAAAACUGCCAACUUUAGUGGUUCGCAAACGUGAAAGUCUACAAUCUCCAUCAUCAGAAAACAUUGACGAAUUAUCAUGUACAUUUUGUGGAAGAAUGCAUUUUGGAUCACAUCUUGGGAAAAAUAUGCAUGAAUCUAAAUGUCCUUCUAAUCCAAAAUUUCCUAAAUUAAUAAAACCAUUUAAUUGUACGAAUUGUAGUUUUGGUAGUGAUAAAAGAAAUCUUCUUAAAUAUCAUAUGACUCACGAGUGCGGACAAACUCAUAAGUGUCAAACGUGUAAUAAACUUUAUUCAACGCGAAGGAGUUUGAACGUACAUAUUCGUAAUACGCAUAUUUGAUAACAGUAAAAAAACUCAAAAGGUCCUUAAGAGUGGGUUUCUUUUUUUGUUUUUCUAGUGAUUUUAAAUUUAUAUGUAUUUUUAUUUUUUACAUAAGAAAGACUACUUCUAUAAUAUUUUGUUGUAUUUUUUUAGUUAUGUUACAAUUGUGUUUUUCAAAUUUUUCUAUACUUAGCAGCAAUUCUCAUGUAAUAGAUUUUUAUAAAAAAUGAAACUACUGAAAAACUCAAGCUUAUAAUGUACUUUGAAAAAAAGUAGUAAGCGAAAUAAUUUUAGAUGCUACAGCAGUUUAAAGGUUAAAAUACUUUUUUCUCAAAACACGGACACUUUUUAUAAAAUCAGACUAAAUACCAAGGAUCCUUAUCGUAUAAAUUUCCUAAAUCCGAACGAUUUUGCAAAUCCAUACAAAAACGCUAUUGAAAAACGAAAAGUGACAGCUUCAUUACGGCCUGCCGCCGUCAGAUGGCAGAAGCAUGCAGGGAGCAUAAAGUUACUUAUUACUUUCUGUUUUACAAUCGCUUUUUUGUAUCGAUUCGCACAAUCUUUCGGAUUUAUGAAAUUUAUAAGAUAAGGGUCCUUGGUAUUUUGUUCGAUUUUGUCAUAAGAGUCCGUGUUUCAAGAAAAAAAUAUUUUAAUAUGAAUGUUUAUGAUUCUUACGUUCAGUGCCAUUUUUAUAGAGUAAUAAUUAAAGGUCUCUCUAUGCCAAAUAAUUUCAGAGACCGUUUGACACUCUUAAAUUAAAAUAUUGUUUUUCUCAAUGCAAAAAUAGUUGUUUGUCAGAUUCGACAAUAAUUAUGAAAUUGUUAAUAAUAAUAAUAAUAAUAUAUUAUUAUAUUUAUAAAUAAUUAUAAAUUACAUAAUGUAAAGCAAAAUUUUUAAUAAGGCUAUAAUUGUAAAAAUAAUAUUGUACCUAAAUAUUAAUUGUAAUAAAAAAUCAUUAGUAUUUCGUA